rnacentral:rRNA from 1 species
UACGGGGGGGGCAAGCGUUGUUCGGAAUUACUGGGCGUAAAGGGCGCGUAGGCGGCCUACUAAGUCGGACGUGAAAUCCCUCGGCUCAACCGGGGAACUGCGUCCGAUACUGGUGGGCUUGAAUCCGGGAGAGGGAUGCGGAAUUCCAGGUGUAGCGGUGAAAUGCGUAGAUAUCUGGAGGAACACCGGUGGCGAAGGCGGCAUCCUGGACCGGUAUUGACGCUGAGGCGCGAAAGCCAGGGGAGCAAACGGG